CGGAUCUUCUCCUGUGUUCGCCCCAAAACCACAAAUCGAAAGAUUUGUUGGGCAUUUCUGGGGGAGAUCUCAGAGAUCUUAUGCUAGUGUGGUGAAAACUAAGAGAGCUCCGAUCGUUGCUGUGAAGAUACAACCAAGAGGAGCUGGUCGGCAUGGAGCUGCGCGCGGUUAUGGUCGUGGUUCUGGUCGCGAUCAUGUCUGGAGGCGUAUCGAAGAUGGUGAUGUUCAGAAUCAAAGAGGUGGUCGCAGUAUUGAGGAGGUGAAUAUGGGAGAGGGGGGUGACACCUUGAAUCAAGGUAACCCGUCUCCCUGGGAAAGUCAAGUUGUCAGAUCUGAAGAAAAAAAUGAAGAUAGUUGGAAAGGAAAUCCCCAUCCUAUGGGAGAAGAUGGUCCUAAAGAUUCGCAUAUGAAAAAAGAGGUAACUCGUAGUUUUAAUCUGGAUAGAUCUGGCUGUGCUUUUUGUCACUUCAAAAAUCAUCUUACUAAGGAUUGUCGACAUCGCUUUCCUUGUGACAUUUGUG
rnacentral:misc_RNA from 1 species